UUCUCUGCAGAUCGGGCAGUGUGAACAACCACUGGAUGGAUUUCUAUGUCUUUUUUGAAGAUCUAGUGAAUAAGUUUAAGAACCCAAAGCUGCGGAUGUCCUUCAUCUUGUAUUCCACUGAAGGCACCACCUUCAUGCCUCUCACCUCAGACAGGAAAAAAAUUGAGCAACGUCUUGUGGAACUCAAAAAGAUCUUACCUGGAGGACCUAGCUAC